UGUCUGCCCUGACUUACCUCAGUGAUGGAGUGUGACCUGAGAGUUCUAAGCUGAAGGGAAACUGAGGCUGAGAGAUGUCUGCUGCAAACACGUCCCUACCCACUAUGAGUAGAGUGUGCCCCCGGGGCUCACUCUUCCCUGGCCUGCAGUGCUUUUUCUCUGGGUGUGCUGGAGAGUGGAGAUGGGAAAAGCUACAGUCUCUGAACCCAGCUGAAGCAGGCUGCCCUGCACUCUGGACAGGCCGAUCCCUGGCAGCGGCAGGUGUGCGGAUCUGCAAGUGUGUGCAUGUACCUGAGCGUCCCACGGAGUGCGGGCGUGAGAGAAGGUACCCACCUUCUGUCAGCUAUCAGCUAACUUCACUUAAACAGCAGGGAAACAGAAGAGAGGAGGAGAAUGCUGGCUGGAACAUUCACAGUCACCGUCCGAUCUGAGCUUCCAGGAUGCUUGGCUCCCAAUUCUAGGAAAGAUGGAGUCAAGGCACCAGUCAAACAACCAUAGAGGCACAAAUCCAAGGCAGUCAGAGUCACAAUGACUGGGAGGGACAGCUGGGAAAUGGCUUCAAGGGCCUGCCUGAGCCAGGAGCCACUGGCCCAAGAGGCUUCUUUAGGCCACAACUGAAACACAGGAAAAGAAGAGGCCCUGGCCUCCUGGGAGCUGCAUUGCUGUGAGUUCAAGGGAAGAGCAGGAGAGAAGCGAGGAAGACAUCUCUGUCUGCCAGAGUCUGGGGACAAGAGGGACGAAGUCACUCUGGCUGGGGCCACAGAGCCUGUGGGAAGCUGACACACCCCUCCCAGUUUCAGCCCUGCUCUUUAGAAUGUCAGAGGGGAAGUGUAAUUAAGGCCACGCAGCUGUGAGGGAUUAGCAUUCCAACCUGGAAAGCCUGAGUUUUAAUUAGUAAUUAGGCCUUUUCUGCAGAGCCUGCAAACAAGCAGAGGAUUGGUGACCUUUCUCCUGAAGGCAUGGUGACAGCCUGGCUGACACACUGAUACACCUAGGGGCUUUUUCAGAGAGGCCUGGAUGAGGCACAAAAGCAGCCUUACUCUUCAUGGUGGGGCCACCAGUAAGGGGCUCCUGCAGAUCCCUGCUCCCUACCUGGCUCACAGCCAGCAUCCCCAAAUCCAUCUGGGCCCUGGAAAUGACAGGUCUGGUGGCUUCUCCAGCAGGAGCCCAAGGUCACCACAUUUCCAUCAGGAUGGGAAUCAGGAUGGGUCUGUGUCUAGAAGGCAAGUGAGCAGGGCCUAGAGGAACAUGAACGCUUCAGCUGGCACCUAGAAUCGCAAGGUCCUUCUGCUCCAUCUUGGCUAUUUAUCACCAUGUAUGAAAAACUCACCAGGCUUUUUCUGGCAGGCCAACCUGUUCCCAAGAUGUUAGGAGGCCCAUGGACCACAUGGGGUCUGUUGGCCAACGACUCUGCCCCAAGACAAGCCUCUGAACCCUCCUGUAGCUGCCUAGCCCCUGUUUGCCCACAUUGCCCAGCCAGCGUCACAGCGGACACCCUUGCACCUAGGGUGUACUGGCCCACAUGGGCACAGAUGCCUUCACACCAUCCCAGGAAAGCACAAGCCCUGGGACAUCGCUCGGGUCUAACCUAUGCCUCUCAGGGGACUCAGCCAAGGGCCUCAAUAGCUCUUGUCCACUUUGUGGGGUCCUGUAGCUAUGACCAGCAUGUCACAGGACAUGGACACUUAUGGUGCUUCCAAGUGUCUGUAUGCACCUCUCAGAAAAAGGACAGAGCUGUUUGAAUUCAACAUCACGGUCACAUUAAGGUUGUUUGGGACCUCUGUGUUUGUAUGUGUCCCACUCAUAAGGCCAGUGGGGCAGGUGACUCUGAAGCAUUGCCCAUGGUGGGUCAUUGGUCAGCACAGCCUGGGCAGUUACAUUCCUGGCUGGCUGCAGGUUGUAAUGUCACAGACAAUGCAGAGGAUGACACAGGUCUAUUCCUGUAGCUCAUCCUUGCUGCUCAUCCCCAGCAAAGAGCCCUUCCCUGAGACCCAUCAGGCUAGGUCCUGGGGAGACAGUAGGAGGGAGGAGCCCCCCCACCAGAAUAAUGCAUUCUGCAGACUUCAUAGUAACUCAGAAGCGAGCUCUCCCUUCUAGCACCAUAUAAACUUUAAUUGGGCUUUUUAAAGGUCACGAAAACAAAUACUUUCUCAUAAAGAAACCAUUUGGGCACACUCAAAACGCACAGGUGACUGUCAGUGUAAGUUGAUGGUUCAUGCCAGGGAACAGGCAUCUCUUGCACACAGGUGUACCCGUGCCUGGUGUACCCCACAUCUGGGCAUGGGGCUACAGGAACCAGCCAUGAGGCUAAGGCUGGCACUGCGGGGUGGGCUGAGGCAGGAAGAAUACCUUGGGGCUGGAGCUUCACACAGCCUCACGUCUCCGACCCUCACCUUCCUCUCUGUCGCAGACUUGUUGGCCUUUCAGCAUCUGAGAUGCAUAUAUUCUCAGCUGGGGAAACUGAGGCCCAGUGGGGUUAAGUCAUUCAGAAAGUGGUUAUUCCCAGUCCAGUCUCUGUAACUCCCAAGUGCGAC
rnacentral:lncRNA from 1 species